rnacentral:rRNA from 1 species
UGGGGAAUUUUGGACAAUGGGCGAAAGCCUGAUCCAGCAAUGCCGCGUGUGUGAAGAAGGCCUUCGGGUUGUAAAGCACUUUUGUCCGGAAAGAAAUCCUUGGCUCUAAUACAGUCGGGGGAUGACGGUACCGGAAGAAUAAGCACCGGCUAACUACGUGCCAGCAGCCGCGGUAAUACGUAGGGUGCAAGCGUUAAUCGGAAUUACUGGGCGUAAAGCGUGCGCAGGCGGUUUGCUAAGACCGAUGUGAAAUCCCCGGGCUCAACCUGGGAACUGCAUUGGUGACUGGCAGGCUAGAGUAUGGCAGAGGGGGGUAGAACUCCACGUGUAGCAGUGAAAUGCGUAGAGAUGUGGAGGAAUACCGAUGGCGAAGGCAGCCCCCUGGGCCAAAUACUGACGCUCAUGCACGAAAGCGUGGGGAGCAAACAGGAUUAGAUACCCUGGUAGUCCACGCCCUAAACGAUGUCAACUAGUUGUGGGGAUUCAUUUCCUAGUAACGUAGCUAACGCGUGAAGUUGACCGCCUGGGGAGUACGGUCGCAAGAUUAAAACUCAAAGGAAUUGACGGGGUCAUAGCUGUUUCCU